UUUAGGCUUAGGCUUAGGCUUAGGUUUUGGCUUUAGCUUAGGCUUAGGCUUAGGCUCAAGCUUAGGCUUUUUCUUAGGCUUAGGCCUAGGGUUAGGUUCAGGCUUAGGCUUAGUCUUAGGCUUAGGCUUAGACUUAGGCUUAGGCUCAGGCUUAGGCUCAGGCUUAG
ensembl:ncRNA Y18H1A.17 ncRNA